rnacentral:rRNA from 1 species
AGAGUUUGAUCAUGGCUCAGAACGAACGCUGGCGGCAGGCCUAACACAUGCAAGUCGAACGCUCUAGCAAUAGAGAGUGGCGCACGGGUGCGUAACACGUGGGAAUCUACCCUUCACUACGGAACAACGUCGGGAAACUGACGCUAAUACCGUAUAAUGACUUCGGUCCAAAGAUUUAUCGGUGAAGGAUGAGCCCGCGCUAGAUUAGCUAGUUGGUGAGGUAAUGGCUCACCAAGGCAACGAUCUAUAGGGGGUCUGAGAGGAUGAUCCCCCACACUGGAACUGAGACACGGUCCAGACUCCUACGGGAGGCAGCAGUGAGGAAUAUUGGACAAUGGGCGCAAGCCUGAUCCAGCCAUGCCGCGUGAGUGACGAAGGCCUUCGGGUUGUAAAGCUCUUUUAACUGUGAAGAUAAUGACGGUAGCAGUAGAAAAAGCCCCGGCUAAAUUCGUGCCAGCAGCCGCGGUAAUACGAAUGGGGCAAGCGUUGUUCGGAAUCACUGGGCUUAAAGCGUAUGCAGGCGGACUUACAAGUCAGAAGUGAAAUCCCUGGGCUUAACCCAGGAAUUGCUUUUGAAACUGUCAGUCUAGAAUCCCGGAGAGGUUAACAGAAUUCCGAGUGUAGAGGUGAAAUUCGCAGAUAUUCGGAGGAAUACCAGUGGCGCAAGCGGUUAACUGGACGGGCAUUGACGCUCAGAUACGAAAGCAUGGGGAGCAAACAGGAUUAGAUACCCUGGUAGUCCAUGCCAUAAACGAUGUGUGCUAGUUGUCGGGAUCUUCGAUCUCGGUGACGCAGGGAAACCGAUAAGCACACCGCCUGGGGAGUACGGUCGCAAGAUUAAAACUCAAAGGAAUUGACGGGGACCCGCACAAGCGGUGGAGCAUGUUGUUCAAUUCGAAGCAACGCGAAGAACCUUACCUACACUUGACAUGUCCGGACGAUUUCCAGAGAUGGAUUUCUUCCCGCAAGGGACUGGAACAACA